rnacentral:lncRNA from 1 species
GUCUCAGCCUGGUUCUUCCUUGUUCCUCGUCCUCUGAGGUAGCAACUGCCUCAUCUUUUCCAUCUAUGGAGUGUGGAAUAUGUGCCCUACUUCAUUCAGGAAUGUUGGACAAACCGGCUAUUUAGAGAGUGAAGGAGAGGAACUUCCGAGAGCAACCGGCCCCCAAGAGAAACCCAGGGACUCCUGCCCUUCGGCAGCUUUGUCCAUGUGCUGCUCACACCAAAAAGCACUCGAGGGUGACCUGCACCAAAAAUGCAUUGCCGUAGUCUGGGCAUAGUGGAUCACGCCUGUAAUCCCAGCUCUUUGGGAGGGCAAGGCACUGUGCUAAGUUGGACUUACAGAGAUGAAUAAGAUUUGGCCACAUCUUCAAGGAGCUCAGACCUUCAUGGACAUACCAAAUAUAUACAGAACUAACUCUACUGCUUAUCAUAAUGAGAGCUGUGCUAUGGAUAUUUGAAAGUUAGAGAGAUUUAUUUUCAACAGAAUAAUAAAGUCAACUUUCACAAA